CAGUAGCCACGGUAAUACGUAGGGUGCGAGCGUUAAUCGGAAUUACUGGGCGUAAAGCGUGCGCAGGCGGUUCGUUAAGACAGAUGUGAAAUCCCCGGGCUUAACCUGGGAACUGCAUUUGUGACUGGCGAGCUAGAGUAUGGCAGAGGGGGGUAGAAUUCCACGUGUAGCAGUGAAAUGCGUAGAGAUGUGGAGGAAUACCGAUGGCGAAGGCAGCCCCCUGGGCCAAUACUGACGCUCAUGCACGAAAGCGUGGGGAGCAAACAGGAUUAGAGACCCGCGUAGUCCCUGUCUCUUAUAC
rnacentral:rRNA from 1 species